rnacentral:rRNA from 1 species
AGUCUGUUGUUUUUUAUAAUAGGUGUUUUCUGCCCAGUGUGUAUGUAAAUGGCCGCGGUAUUUUGACCGUGCAAAGGUAGCAUAAUCAUUUGUCCUUUAAUUGGGGACUGGAAUGAAGGGAAGCUUGAGGUCUUAUCUGUCUCUUCUUUAGGUUAGAAUUUGCUAUUUUUGUGAAGAAGCAAAGGUUGUAAAAAAAGACAAGAAGACCCUUUUAAGCUUUAUUUAUUUAUUUUUUAUUUGUUCUUUUUAAGUAUUUUGGUAAAUAGUAGAAGAAUUUGGUUGGGGUGACUGAAGAAGAAAAAAUCUUCUUUAGUUUUAAGAAACUUUGAGUUUAAUUUUGACCCAAAAUUUUUUGGUUGAAAGAAUUAGUUACUAAAGGGAUAACAGCGUAAUCUUUUCAGAGAGUUCUUAUUGAAGAAAAGGAUUGCGACCUCGAUGUUGACUUGCUUUUUCCUUUUAAGGUGUAGAAGCUAAAAGGGUUAGUCUGUUCGACUAUUAAAAUAGU